rnacentral:tRNA from 1 species
GCCAGUGUGGCAUAGUUGUUUAAGCACUAGACUACGACUCAAGAGAAUAGGAUUCAAAUCCCUGCUCAGUCA